rnacentral:rRNA from 1 species
GCUUAACGCGAAGAACCUUACCUGGGCUAGAAAGCGCAAGAACCUCGGUGAAAACUGAGGGUGCCCUUCGGGGAACUUGUGAUUAGGUGCUGCAUGGCUGUCGUCAGCUCGUGUCGUGAGAUGUUGGGUUAAGUCCCGCAACGAGCGCAACCCUUGCUGUUAGUUGCCAUCAUUAAGUUGGGCACUCUAACAGGACUGCCGACCUUUAAGUCGGAGGAAGGUGGGGAUGACGUCAAGUCCUCAUGGCCCUUACGUCCAGGGCUACACACGUGCUACAAUGAACGGUACAAAGGGUCGCGAAACCGUGAGGUGGAGCCAAUCCCAAAAAGCCGUUCUCAGUACGGAUAAGAGUCUGCAACUCGACUCUUUGAAGGCGGAAUCGCUAGUAAUCCCUGAUCAGCAUAGCAGGGGUGAAUACGUUCCCGGGUCUUGUACACACCG